rnacentral:RNase_P_RNA from 1 species
GCGGAAGGCUGGAUGACCGCGGUUCUGGCAACAGGAUCGAGGAAAGUCCGGACUCCGAAAAGAAACGGUGCCGGGUAAUUCCCGGGCGGGGCAACCCGACGGACAGCGCCACAGAAAUUAAACCGCCUUUGUGGCAGGUCGGGCAACCGAUACCACUUCAAGGGUAAGGGUGAAACGGUGGGGUAAGAGCCCACCGCGUCGCUGGCAACAGGGACGGCACGGCAAGCCCCACCGGGAGCAAUGCCAAAUAGGGACCGCGUGCUGGCAACAGCGGGGAUUCUUUUGCCCCAGCAGGUCCGGGUUGGCAGCUAUAGCUGCGUCGGCAACGACGUGGUCAGAGGAAUGGUCAUCCAUCGUGUGCGGGCUUGCCUGCAUACGAGGACAAAAUCCGGCUUAUAGGCUUUCCGCGCAU